UAUGACUCUCGGCAAUGGAUAUCUUGGCUCUUGCAUCGAUGAAGAACGCAGCAAAAUGCGAUACGUGGUGUGAAUUGCAGAAUUCCGUGAACCAUCGAAUUUUUGAACGCAAGUUGCGCCCGAGGCCAAUUGGCUAAGGGCACGUCCGCCUGGGCGUCAAGCAUU
rnacentral:rRNA from 1 species